rnacentral:rRNA from 1 species
UACGUAGGGUCCGAGCGUUGUCCGGAAUUAUUGGGCGUAAAGAGCUCGUAGGCAGUUUGUCGCGUCUGCUGUGAAAUCCCGAGGCUCAACCUCGGGCCUGCAGUGGGUACGGGCAGACUGGAGUGCGGUAGGGGAGAAUGGAAUUCCUGGUGUAGCGGUGGAAUGCGCAGAUAUCAGGAGGAACACCGAUGGCGAAGGCAGUUCUCUGGGCCGUAACUGACGCUGAGGAGCGAAAGCGUGGGGAGCGAACAGG